rnacentral:piRNA from 1 species
UAACUAGGAUGGACAAACGAUUGCAGGGU